CCUACGGGAGGCAGCAGUGAGGAAUAUUGGUCAAUGGACGAGAGUCUGAACCAGCCAAGUAGCGUGAAGGAUGACUGCCCUAUGGGUUGUAAACUUCUUUUAUAAAGGAAUAAAACGAGGCACGUGUGCCUUUUUGCAUGUACUUUAUGAAUAAGGAUCGGCUAACUCAGUGCCAGCAGCCGCGGUAAUACGGAGGAUCCGAGCGUUAUCCGGAUUUAGUGGGUUUAAAGGGAGCGUAGAUGGGUUGUUAAGUCAGUUGUGAAAGUUUGCGGCUCCACCGUAAAAUUGCAAUUGAUACUGGCAGUCUUGAGUACAGUUGAGGUAGGUGGAAUUCGUGGUGUAGCGGUGAAAUGCUUAGAUAUCACGAAGAACCCCGAUUGCGAAGGCAGCUUACUAAACUGUGACUGACAUUGAUGCUCGAAAGUGUGGGUAUCAAACAGGAUUAGAUACCCGAGUAGUC
rnacentral:rRNA from 1 species